CCAUUCCAAAGAAAUAUUUUUAGUUAAUUUAAUAAUAAUAGUUUAAUCUGAAACAUUAUAUGCGUGUGUUAGAAUGUCUACUGUGCAUCACCGUACAUAAAAGGUAACAUUUGGUUUUAUCUCUCUCCUAACGAAUAAUUUUCUCUUAUCAAAAUAAUUUAUCUUAAUCACUUAUCUAUCAUUAAUUCUCAUCUAAAAAUAAAGUCAUCAAUUUUACCAAAAUGGAAAGUCACACUUAUCUAUCAUUACUUCUCAUCUAAAAUACAAUAAAGUCAUCAAUGUUACCAAAAUGGAAAGUCACUCAAGCAUUUUCCGUACAUAACAUUGAAUUUUUUACUAACAAAUGGUGCAAAACCGGUGCUAUAUUCAAAUCUUAUGGUGUUCAAACAAUUAAAAAUGGAGAUAAUUGAUGGAAAUUUAAAGAUUUGAGGGGGUUCAUAUGAACACCCUGAACAACACGUAUCUCUGCCCUGCUUGUAGAUGCUCUCAAUGCCCUGUUCCUUCGGAUUUAGACCGACCCAUUAAUAGAAUGGUAUUUUCGACUAAAAUUAAAAACUUUAAUGUAAGAUGACGUUAACUACAUUUAUUUUAACACAUUUUUCUUAAUCUUAACAUUCAAUCCUUUAUUAAGUGAAAUUCAUUUUAUGUUGAAUCAGUUUUUAAAGUGGCAUGAUGAUUAUGUAUUUCAUCCGAUAAAAUGGUAAAAAUUAGAAAAUGUGCGUUAUGACGAGUGUUUAUAACAUUACUCGUAAUUUAGUUUGUAUGUGCUGUACUGUCGGUGACGUGAGUGGGUGGGGAGUGGAGACUACUUUGGCUAGACUAGUAAUAGUAUACGUUCGUGUAUUUUUUAUUGGCUAAUUAAUACUUCAUUUUCACUCAAGUUAUUAUCUUACUUCCAAGCCAUGUUAAACUAAAUAUUUAGAAAAAACAGUUCAUAUUUGAGAAAGAGGGAAGGAGAAGGACCACUUUUCUCAUUUGAAUGUUAUUGUUUAAUUAAUUUUCCUCAAACGCUUUAAGCCUACGAUUACCCAAAUCAUGAUAACAACUUUUUUGUCGUGAUUUUCUAACUUGAAAAGAAGUCAAAUAUAGCCAGCCCAUGUUUUGGCUCAGUGGUUGGCAACUGGUGUAGUUAGUAGUUAGUUGUUUGGUCGGUCAACCAGGGCCUAAUUGUUCCAUGUUGACAAUUAACAAGCUUUUACGCUAUACAAUCAUCUUAUAUUUAGUGAUAACAUGUCAGCUACUCCAUUUUAGGCUUUUGUCAAAAAAAAAAAAAAAAACUACUCCAUUUUAGGCUAUAUACAUAUGAUUAUCUUAGAAUUUUAAUCUUUUCCUCGUUCCCAUCCAAAACUUCUAAAAUUAACUCUAACGUAAAUUAACUUCCAUUCGAUACCAAACGUGAAUUAACUUACGCUGAUUUUAGAUCUGUUAACCGAACAAAUGUGCAUUUUUCGAAAUAUCAAUCAUGAACUACCACCACAUUCCUUAUUUCAAUCAUUCAAUCAAAAUCAAAAUAAAAAAAUAAUUUCAAAAUAAUGCAAAAUCAAUUCCAAAAUAACACAAAUGUCGUAGAUAAAAAAUUUACAAUAAAAAAAAAAACACUAAAAAACAUUCAACCACUAAAAAUAUAUAAUUAUCUUAAUUAGUUGCAUUUCUUAGUAUAAGAUUAAAUUGGUAGAAUGACAUAUAAUUUGGGACGGUGAAAGUAUUGAGUUACAACUUUAAAUUCUGAUUUUAAUAGAGCAAUUUUUAUGUCAAAUAGAUGUUAGCCUGUAAUAAUUUCGACAAGCUCAAUUAAUGCAGUCAAUGAGAGUUGAUUUUUGUUCUUUCAAGAAAUAAAGUUAUUUUCUUCAACAUGAAGAUUUCGACAUGGUCUGGGACUUAGUAUUUUGAAGAGUUCAAGAGCUUCAAAGUUCGACAAAAGGGUAUUCAGAGGAAAGAUUGGUCGAAGCCAAGCAGUUGUUGUCGAAGGGAAAAACAUUCAAAUUCAGAAGCAGCAGUUUUUCUUAUUGAAGACGUGGUGGACAAGCAGUUUUCGAUGGAAGAAGUGCAGUUCGCGGCAGUUUAACUUUUUACAGUUACUUUUCUAUGUAUAAAUAAGAGUUUUUCAUAGGAAAAACAGGGUCGGAAAUCAUUUAUAGAAUUCUAGCACUCGAAGUACCAGUGUCUAGAGAAAAGAGUCAUACAGAAUGUAUGUAAUUUGAUUUGUCGAACCACCUUUACAUUAAUGUAAUGUAAUCUACCUUUUCUUUAA
rnacentral:lncRNA from 1 species